GCUUUCACGGGUUAUACAAUUCGCCUUGUAAGCGGUAGGUCGUCAGUUCGAAUCCGACAAGCGGCACCA
rnacentral:tRNA from 1 species